rnacentral:rRNA from 1 species
UACGUAGGGGGGCAAGCGUUGUCCGGAUUUAUUGGGCGUAAAGAGCGUGUAGGCGGUUUGGUAGGUCCGUUGUGAAAACUCGAGGCUCAACCUCGAGACGCCGGCGGAAACCAUCAGGCUAGAGUCCGGAAGAGGAGAGUGGAAUUCCUGGUGUAGCGGUGAAAUGCGCAGAUAUCAGGAAGAACACCCGUGGCUAAGGCGGCUCUCUAGUACGGUACUGACGCUGAGACGCGAAAAGCGUGGGGAGCGAACAGG